GCCCCUCCUCUGGCCCCGCCUCUUCCGAGAUGGGACCCCUACACACUCCCCGGGGGGCUCUCUCCACACCCCAGGAGUCCCAUUUGUGCCUCCUGAGCGCAAGUUCACCCAAGUGGGGACUUUUUAGAGACUCUUUUCCUCGCCUCAGAGAGACCUUCUUUGGCUACCCACCCCCUGUCCAGCCGCUCCGACGUGGCUACUUUGCGGGAUGGGCUGUAUAAAGGGCUGGAGGCAGUUCAACCCAAACCAGAGACGUGGCGCUUCUUCUAGGGAAGGCUUAGGUUCCAGCACCUGAUUAAAGGACAGAGAAUGGAGCAGAGAAGAGCUGAAGAGUGUAUGGACUGGGAGACAUGAAGACACAGCCAUGGACCACAGUUGGCCUUCCCAGAAAAAAAAAAAAAAGACAAAACAAAACAAAACAAAAAACCCUGUAUGUGGGCUUUAGGGUGUAACAAAAAUAUUAAAUUAUUUUUUUUAAAGUCCUAGA